GGUAAGGUGGCCGAAUAUGAAGGUGGUGGACUGUAGUUCCAUAGAUAGAGGUGUGAGUCCUCUUCUUACCA
rnacentral:tRNA from 1 species